ensembl:lncRNA
CUCCCACAACGCCUCCUCCCACAACGCCUCCUCCCACAAUGCCUGCUCCCACAACGCCUCCUCCCACAACGCCUCCUCCCACAACAUCUCCUCCCACAACGCCUCCUCCCACAACGCCUCCUCCCACAACGCCUCCUCCCACAACGCCUCCUCCCACAACGCCUCCUCCCACAACAUCUCCUCCCACAACGCCUCCUCCCACAACGCCUCCUCCCACAACGCCUCCUCCUGUACCCUCCUUUCUCUGGAUCUCCUGUAGUUUUCAAAACUAAGACUUUCCCCCUUUCCCUCCUGAGCAACCGGGAAACAUUCGCCCAGUUUCUGUUUCACGUCCUCCACAUCCAAUUUAGCCGUCAACAUUUUCUGUGUUGGGAGUUUGUUGUAACCCAUUUAUUGAUGUGAUUAUGAUAGGCCAUAGGUCAGGCCGUGUUGGACACAUGUAUGUGAUCCGAGGGUUGAGGGAAUAAGGAAUGUUUUUCCUGAACAAAUUAAGGAUUUCAGUAAAAAAAAAGAAAAUUCUGUCAGAAACAGGCUCUGUGCUGUGGUGUCUUUUCUCUGCAGUAGGGAGGAGACAGAGACACCGUGCGUAAUAAACGGGCACCGUGCUGUGGUGUCUUUUCUCUGCAGUAGGGGGGGAGACAGAGACACCGUGCUGUGGUGUCUUUUCUCUGCAUAGGGGGGAGACAGAGACACCGUGCUGUGGUGUCUUUUUUCUGCAGUAGGGAGGAGACAGAGACACCGUGCGUAAUAAACAGGCACCGUGCUGUGGUGCCUUUUCUCUGCAGUAGGGGGGAGACAGAGACACCGUGCUGUGGUGUCUUUUUUCUGCAGUAGGGAGGAGACAGAGACACCGUGCGUAAUAAACAGGCACCGUGCUGUGGUGCCUUUUCUCUGCAGUAGGGAGGAGACAGAGACACCGUGCUGUGGUGUCUUU